AGAUACUGCGCCUGAGCUGGUUGCCAUACUCUAGCAUUUCAUCAUCACUAUUGUCUAGUUGUGCACAUACUUCAGAAGCAGUUUGCAUCAUAGGCAAUGCGUAUUGAAGGUACUUCUCAAAAUGCUCGCCUAUGGCAAGCGCAAUAUCCCCAAGGCAGGAGAAUAUGGGAGGCUUUACAGAUUUAUUAAGUUCACCACUAGACAGAUCCUUGAGAAGAUGUGUCAUGAUCCCAUCACAGUAGGGCAAGAUCUUGUCGUCCAAUGCACGGCAAAUAUCACCAACCACCCCCACAGAGAUGGAACAGACCUGGUACUCUUCAAAAUUCUGCAGCCCCAUCUCCAGAUACUUGUAAAACUCUGAGGUACUUCUCAAAAUGUUCACCUAUGGCAAGCGCAAUAUCCCCAAGGCAGGAGAAGAUGGGAGGCUUUACAGAUUUAUUAAGUUCACCACUAGACAGAUCCUUGAGAAGAUGUGUCAUGAUCC
rnacentral:lncRNA from 1 species